rnacentral:rRNA from 1 species
CGGGCUUGGCAGAAUCAGCGGGGAAAGAAGACCCUGUUGAGCUUGACUCUAGUUUGACAUUGUGAAAAGACAUGGGAGGUGUAGAAUGGUGUGAGCAUAGUCGGCGGUGAAAGUCAACUUCUCCAAUUGUUUUUUUCUUAUUCAGUGAAGCCGGGCUGGACGUGCGUCCAACUUCAGGUGUUAAGGUCCUUCGCGGGCCGACCCGGGUUGAAGACAUUGUCAGGUGGGGAGUUUGGCUGGGGCAGCACAUCUGUUAAACCAUACCGCAGAUGUCCUAAGCUCAUGGAGAACAGAAAUAUCCAGUAGAACAAAAGGGUAAAAGCCCCCUGGAUUUGAUUUUUCAGUGUGAAUACAAACCAUGAAAGUGAUGCCUAUCGAUACUUUAGUGCCGCGGGGUU